rnacentral:tRNA from 1 species
GAGGUUAUAGCUCAGUGGUAGAGUGCAUGCCUAGCAUGCACAAGGUCUUGAGUUCAAUCCCCAGUACCUCCA